CUAUACGGUAUAUAUGUAACGUUGUGAGAGAGAGCAGAGUUGAAAUAUCUCUUUCAUAUUUCUUUUAUUUAAGAAGCUCGGGUUGGCUAUGUUUUGCAGGUGAACUCGCUCGUGUUGGUGCAGGUUCAUUAUUGUGAUUGAGUUUAUCAUCUUGGCGGAUCAAGUAGAUGGGAGUCGAUGAGCUAUGAGGACUACUACAAACGAGAAGGCUGAAGCAGAGAACGUCGUUUCAAAUGUCUAGCAAGUUGCGCGCAUUUGUAAUAUUUUUUAAUUAAACAUCUAGCUAAAUAGAAUAUAUGUGAAGUUUUCAUUAUAUUUGGAUGAUAAUGUAUGAAUAUUUUGGAUGAUAUAUAAUAUUGUUAUUGUUCAUUUUAUCA